rnacentral:lncRNA from 1 species
AAUAAGUCUAAUUACACGUUGUGGGCGUGAAUGAACUCGUUCUUGGAGCUCCUUGGGUAGUGGGAGGAGGUGGCAUUGUUGGAGGCGUCAGCCUGGAUUGUGUCUUCACAUCCACAGGUGAGUCUGGCAUUGUGGAAUGCUUCUCAGUGCGAUCUUGACAAAAUUCAAGGUUCCCUUUUUUCCGGCAGUCACCUAUCACUAAACUCAGUGCUCUCCAAGUGUUUCUUUUGACAGAUAUCAUUCUCCACCAACCGCUCUGCUAAUUUCCUCUUUCCUUUUCUGACUGGGACAGAUAUUAUGUUCACCAGCCCAGAGAUCAAUCUU